AGNGGUACCGCAAAUUUGAUUUUAUUUUCUCUUUAUUUUUCAUUAAAUUAUAAUUUUUUAUAUUUUUUUGUUUUUCUUAUUGUGAGAAAUAAGAAUAAAAAUUAAGUGAUGUUUAAUUAACAUUUACGGUGGCACAGAAUCGGAGGCCCCGACUGUUUACUAAAAACACAACACAGUGCAAUCAUUAAUAUGGUAGUAUACUGUGUGAAAUUUGCCCAAUGCCAUUAAUAUAAGAGAAGUUAUGGUCUCAAAAACUGUGACUAAUCGAAAAUCUGGUUAAUAGCGGUCUUAACUAUGAGGAUCCUAAGGUAGCAAAAUCAGUUGGCCAUUAAAUGUGGUCCGGUAUCAAUAAUGUAACGAUGGUCUCACUGUCUCUACAACUUGCUCAGUGAAAUUGAAUUACGCGUGCAGAUGCGCGUUGCCUCCAGGGGGACGGGAAGACCCUAUGC
rnacentral:rRNA from 1 species